rnacentral:misc_RNA from 1 species
CCAGACCAUGCCUCUUGCCGUUCUGCCAUUGUCCCUCGUAAGCUGACCCGCUGUUGAGAGAAACGCAAUUUGCGGAAUUUAAUUCUUCUGAGACAGUUUCUUUCCCAGAUAUAGGAUUUAAAACUAUAGAGUUAAUCCGAGUGGAAAAAUCCGAAAGCAGAAUCAAUCGACAGAUCAAGAAUACAAGCACAUCUUGUUUUUUUGCUCGACUUCAUGGAAGAAAACGAGCUGAAAUAAGCUUCUCGCUGAUGACGUCGUAGUUCGAAAGAAAUACUGAAUGAAUUUGCGCUGACUUUAAUCAAUGCUGCACUUCAAUAUCGGGGUGAUUCAAAGAAUCCGAACACUUGUUAUAUAUUGCCAUUCUUUCAUCGAAACCAAGAUUGUAUAUAGAUCCUUGGAAAGACAUUGAUAUUUGUUAAUAUAUUGAUUGAUUUUUUUCAAAAAAA